rnacentral:rRNA from 1 species
AAGGUGCGUCGACAGUGUGGGGGAGUCUCUUCUUCUUUUCCCCCCUCUCUCCUUUUGGUGUGGAGGGGUGUGGGAGGAAGAAGCCCCUUACUGUUGGGCCAUUCUGAAAA